UUGCGCCUGCGGAGGACGCAGCGCAGCCCAUCCGGGGCCUUGCAGGCGGCCGGGCUGCGUACCGUCCCGUGAACCGCAAUUUUGCGGAUUCAAAAUCUUCCC
rnacentral:ncRNA from 1 species